rnacentral:rRNA from 1 species
UACAGAGGGUGCAAGCGUUGUCCGGAUUUAUUGGGCGUAAAGAGCGUGUAGGCGGCCGUACAGGUCAGCUGUGAAAACUCGAGGCUCAACCUCGAGACGUCGGUUGAAACCGUACGGCUAGAGUCCGGAAGAGGAGAGUGGAAUUCCCGGUGUAGCGGUGAAAUGCGCAGAUAUCGGGAAGAACACCCGUGGCGAAGGCGGCUCUCUGGGCCGAUACUGACGCUGAGGAGCGAAAGCGUGGGGAGCGAACAGG